GAUGAACGCUGGCGGCGUGCCUAAUACAUGCAAGUCGAGCGAACAGACGAGAGUGCUUGCACUCUCUGACGUUAGCGGCGGACGGGUGAGUAACACGUUGGUAACCUACCUAUAAGACUGGGAUAACUUCGGGAAACCGGAGCUAAUACCGGAUAAUAUUUAGCUUCGCAUGAAGCAAUAGUGAAAGACGGUUCUGCUGUCACUUAUAGAUGGACCCGCGGUGUAUUAGCUAGUUGGUGAGGUAACGGCUCACCAAGGCAACGAUACAUAGCCGACCUGAGAGGGGGAUCGGCCACACUGGGACUGAGACACGGCCCAGACUCCAACGGGAGGCAGAGGUAGGGAAUCUUCCGCAAUGGACGAAAGUCUGACGGAGCAAUGCCGCGUGAGUGAAGAAGGUUUUCGGUUCGUAAAACUCUGUUGUAAGGGAAGAACAAGUACGUUAGUAACAGAACGUACCUGGACGGUACCUUACCAGAAGGCCACGGCAAACUACGU
rnacentral:rRNA from 1 species